CCUACGUGGAGCAGCAGUGAGGAAUAUUGGUCAAUGGGCGCGAGCCUGAACCAGCCAAGUAGCGUGAAGGAUGACUGCCCUACGGGUUGUAAACUUCUUUUAUAAAGGAAUAAAGUGAGGCACGUGUGCCUUUUUGUAUGUACUUUAUGAAUAAGGAUCGGCUAACUCCGUGCCAGCAGCCGCGGUAAUACGGAGGCUCCGAGCGUUAUCCGGAUUUAUUGGGUUUAAAGGGAGCGUAGAUGGGUUGUUAAGUCAGUUGUGAAAGUUUGCGGCUCAACCGUAAAAUUGCAAUUGAUACUGGCAGUCUUGAGUACAGUUGAGGUAGGCGGAAUUCGUGGUGUAGCGGUGAAAUGCUUAGAUAUCACGAAGAACUCCGAUUGCGAAGGCAGCUUACUAAACUGCCACUGACAUUGAUGCUCGAAAGUGUGGGUAUCAAACAGGAUUAGAUACCCCUGUAGUC
rnacentral:rRNA from 1 species